AAUGAACGCUGGCGGCGCGCCUAAUACAUGCAAGUCGAGCGAGAAGACGUAGCAAUACGUUUGUAAAGCGGCGAACGGGUGAGGAAUACAUGGGUAACCUACCCUCGAGUGGGGAAUAACUAGCCGAAAGGUUAGCUAAUACCGCGUACGCUCCUUGGACUUCGGUUCAGGGAGGAAAGCGAUACCGUGGGUAUCGCGCUCUUGGUUGGGCUCAUGUCCUAUCAGCUUGUUGGGAGGUAACGGCUCACCAAGGCUUCGACGGGUAGCUGGUCUGAGAGGACGAUCAGCCACACUGGCACUGCGACACGGGCCAGACUCCUACGGGAGGCAGCAGUAAGGAAUAUUGCGCAAUGGGCGAAAGCCUGACGCAGCGACGCCGCGUGGGGGAGUGAAAGGUACUUCGG
rnacentral:rRNA from 1 species